rnacentral:tRNA from 3 species
GCGCCCGUAGCUCAGCUGGAUAGAGCGCCGGACUUCGAAUCCGUAGGUCGCAGGUUCGAAUCCUGCCGGGCGCGCCU